AGUUUUUCGGAUGAAAUAAUCAGAGAACUGAGGUCUGAGAACCACGAUUUAAGAUAGUACUAUCUUAAAUCAUGCUGAGAACUGAGAAGUAAGAACCUGAGAAGUGAGAACGGAAACUGUGGUCAGAUUUUGAUGCGAAAUUGUGAAACUGCGAGAAACUGUAUGUUUAUACUUUGUAUGCAUUAUGCCCGUUUACGAUAAAGUAGUUAAUUGUUAAUUGAUGAUGUCGGCUAUACUAAUGAUUAUGAUUUAUGAGUUAUGACUAAAUAUUUUAAUAGUAUGUUCUCAACUGGGAUGUAACAUCGUACAGUCGUCACAGACAUUUUUAAUUAUUUAUUCGCUGUGUAUAUACACCCGACCAUAGUCGGGAUUUCAAUGGUCACCCGACCAUGGUCGGGCUGAUAGUAGGCACCCGACCAUGGUCGGGCUGAUAGUAGGCACACGACCAUGGUCGGGCUGAUAGUAGUCACCCGACCAUUUUGUUAUCAAAUGCGCAUGAGUGAGAUAGUUUAAUUAAUUAAAUAAUAAUAUGCAAAUUGCAACGUACUAAUUUAGCACAAUAUGGAGCCGUGUAGGUGUUGUUACUUAUUGACUGUUAAAUAAAUAUCCGGUGGCAUCCGGUGGUUCUCGUAAUAAGGUACAAUAUACAAAAGUCCAUAUGAUGCCAAAUUAAACAAGAGUCACACAAUAUGGAAUUUUGAUCAGCUCCUAUGUCAUUAUUACAUAAUGGGCAUACCCAGGUCCAGAACUUGUUGAUGGCCGGUUAGCCUGACUCGAACUUGACUCAUCAUUCUGGACAGAAAAUAUUACAUCUCCAAUAAUAUUAUUUUUCUCAGGUCCAGAACUUGUGGAUGGCUGGUUAACGUUUUCUAAAUUGUAAACACAAAUUUAAAUAAUAUGGGUAAUAAUGUAGGUAAUUUUAAAAUGUUAUUUCACCUUCAUCAUCAUCAUUGUCACAUGUAGAACUUAUCUCCUUAAUUAAAAAUUCUUCUUUUUUGCUCCAUAUACUUAUUAUUUGUUCUAACUGAUUCAUUCUUCUUUCAUAAUUAAAUUGAGAUGAUAUUGAAAGAAGUUCAGCCAAUUUAGAUGCUUUAACAGAUGCCUUUCGAAACUUUUCGUUGGCUGAUAAUAGUCUUGUGUUUUUUUUUUCCUGAAUUUCAAUAGGAACCUCUCUUACUGCUGCCUCACAUAACUUCAGUGGUUCUUUAAAAAUUACCUGGGAUUUAUAGUAAUAGUUCCUUGUCCAUCUUUUAUCACAUAUAUCUUCAUCAUAUAAAGAAUGAUUUGUUGCUCUUCUUUUAUUAAAAAUGUGCUUGCAUGGCAACUUCAUUGAAUUAUAAAAAGCACAAGAGCAAGAAGUUAGUGAUGUACCUUCUAAAAUUUUAGUUUUGUUUGUACAGGAUAGACCCUUUUUUAAAUAGUUAAAUGCAUAUGGGGUUAAAAGCAUGCUAUAUUUAUAUUCAUCACUAUUUUCAAUUUUUUUUGUUGGGAGUUUUUGUACUAAAUUGAUGGUCUUACUGUCCCUUUCUGACCGAACACACUUAAUAACCACAAAUAGCUGCUUAAAAAAUUCGGAGAGAUUUGAAAAAAAUGGUAUAACCGAUUUUAAUUUUGAGUUAAAACUCUCAAGCCUAUUAUUUGUGGUAUUUAAAAAGUUACCACUUUGAAAAGUUAAACCAGUGACCGGAUAUCAUGCCAAUUCUUCUCAAAGUACAUUUUGACUUGAUGGGGAGCUUGACUUAAAAAAAUGGUGAUUUCUCUGUUAAAUGUGCGCAGAGUGUGGAAAAGGCAAAUCACAAGACGAGAGGUUGGAAACAAUGAUUUGAUAACAGAACGCUCUUUUAAAUCUUUAUCUGUAAUAAAUACUCUUGUAUUUGAACAGGCUGGAUUACAUUCUUUGAACUUAUUAAAGAACCAUUGUAACGUUUCUCUCUGUUCAUUUACUAGCAAUCCAAGAGCAGCUAUCUCACUCUGGCCAUUACCAUCCUCAAUUAAUAGCACAUACAAUGGGAUUCUCAUAUCCACCAGCUUGAAAUGCUUUAAAUUCUUCCUUCAUCCUUAAAUCUUGAAGAAACAUGCCUAAAAAGUUCCCAUCACUGUCUGUCAACAGUUCAACAUGACAACCAUACAUCUUUUUGACAUCUUCCACCGUUUCUUCAAAACUUUUCACACAUUUUCGUUUCUCUAGAA